rnacentral:rRNA from 1 species
ACGCUAGCUACAGGCUUAACACAUGCAAGUCGAGGGGAAACGGCAUUUAGUGCUUGCACCGAAUGGACGUCGACCGGCGCACGGGUGAGUAACGCGUAUCCAACCUACCCAUUACUGUGGGAUAACCUGCCGAAAGGCAGACUAAUACCGCAUAGUCUUCGAUGACGGCAUCAGAUUUGAAGUAAAGAUUUAUCGGUAAUGGAUGGGGAUGCGUCUGAUUAGCUUGUUGGCGGGGUAACGGCCCACCAAGGCAACGAUCAGUAGGGGUUCUGAGAGGAAGGUCCCCCACAUUGGAACUGAGACACGGUCCAAACUCCUACGGGAGGCAGCAGUGAGGAAUAUUGGUCAAUGGACGAGAGUCUGAACCAGCCAAGUAGCGUGCAGGAUGACGGCCCUAUGGGUUGUAAACUGCUUUUGUAUGGGGAUAAAGUCAAUCACGUGUGAUUGUUUGCAGGUACCAUAUGAAUAAGGACCGGCUAAUUCCGUGCCAGCAGCCGCGGUAAUACGGAAGGUCCGGGCGUUAUCCGGAUUUAUUGGGUUUAAAGGGAGCGUAGGCCGGAGAUUAAGUGUGUUGUGAAAUGUAGACGCUCAACGUCUGACUUGCAGCGCAUACUGGUUUCCUUGAGUACGCACAACGUUGGCGGAAUUCGUCGUGUAGCGGUGAAAUGCUUAGAUAUGACGAAGAACUCCGAUUGCGAAGGCAGCUGACGGGAGCGCAACUGACGCUUAAGCUCGAAGGUGCGGGUAUCGAACAGGAUUAGAUACCCUGGUAGUCCGCACAGUAAACGAUGGAUGCCCGCUGUUGGUACCUGGUAUCAGCGGCUAAGCGAAAGCAUUAAGCAUCCCACCUGGGGAGUACGCCGGCAACGGUGAAACUCAAAGGAAUUGACGGGGGCCCGCACAAGCGGAGGAACAUGU